UCCCUGGUGGCUCAGAUGGUAAAGUGUCUGCCUACAAUGCAGGAGACCCAGAGGUUCAAUCCCUGGGUGGGGAA
rnacentral:tRNA from 1 species